AAUGAACGCUGGCGGCAUGCCUUACACAUGCAAGUCGAACGACACCACGGGUGCUUGCAGCGGAUGGCGGGGUGCGGACGGGUAAGCUGUACAUCGGAACAGGACCACUCGCGGGAGGUAGCCCUGCUACAGGCUAAUUCCUUCCGCAUACAAGUUUAGCGUCAAAGCAUGGGCCCGUCUGGGAUCAGCUUGUUGGUAGGGUAAAAGCCUACCAAGGCGACGAGCCAUAGCUAGUCUGAGAGGAUGAUCAGCCACACUGGGACUGAGACACGGCCCAGACUCCUACGGGAGGCAGCAGUGGGGAAUAUUGGACAAUGGGCGAAAGCCUGAUCCAGCAAUGCCGCGUGAGUGAUGAAGGCCUUAGGGUUGUAAAGCUCUUUUACCCGGGAUGAUAAUGACAGUACCGGGAGAAUAAGCUCCGGCUAACUCCGUG
rnacentral:rRNA from 1 species